rnacentral:rRNA from 1 species
GAUGAACGCUGGCGGCGUGCCUAAUACAUGCAAGUCGAGCGAACAGACGAGGAGCUUGCUCCUCUGACGUUAGCGGCGGACGGGUGAGUAACACGUGGAUAACCUACCUAUAAGACUGGGAUAACUUCGGGAAACCGGAGCUAAUACCGGAUAAUAUAUUGAACCGCAUGGUUCAAUAGUGAAAGACGGUUUUGCUGUCACUUAUAGAUGUAUCCGCGCCGCAUUAGCUAGUUGGUAAGGUAACGGCUUACCAAGGCAACGAUGCGUAGCCGACCUGAGAGGGUGAUCGGCCACACUGGAACUGAGACACGGUCCAGACUCCUACGGGAGGCAGCAGUAGGGAAUCUUCCGCAAAGGGCGAAAGCCUGACGGAGCAACGCCGCGUGAGUGAUGAAGGUCUUCGGAUCGUAAAACUCUGUUAUUAGGGAAGAACAAAUGUGUAAGUAACUAUGCACGUAUUGACGGUACCUAAUCAGAAAGCCACGGCUAACUACGUG